GACGAACGCUGGCGGCGUGCUUAACACAUGCAAGUCGAACGCUGAAGCUCAGCUUUUGUUGGGUGGAUGAGUGGCGAACGGGUGAGUAACACGUGAGUAACCUGCCUCCUUCUUUGGGAUAACGCCCGGAAACGGGUGCUAAUACUGGAUAUUCACUGUUCUUCGCAUGGGGGUUGGUGGAAAGGGUUUUUCUGGUGGGGGUUGGGCUCGCGGCCUAUCAGCUUGUUGGUGGGGUGAUGGCCUACCAAGGCUUUGACGGGUAGCCGGCCUGAGAGGGUGACCGGUCACAGUGGGACUGAGAUAAGGCCCAGACUCCUACGGGAGGCAGCAGUGGGGAAUAUGGCACAAUGGGGGCAAGCCUGAUGCAGCGACGCCGCGUGAGGGAUGGAGGCCUUCGGGUUGUGAACCUCUUUCGCUCAUGGUCAAGCCGCAACAAUGGUUGUGGUGAGGGUAGUGGGUAAAGAAGCGCCGGCUAACUACGUG
rnacentral:rRNA from 1 species